rnacentral:rRNA from 1 species
UGAGUACGAGAUGCUACGGCAUCGAAGCAGUCUAUGUCAUACUUCCAAGAAAAGCUUGCACUGUCAUAAACAAAGAAUGCCUGUACCAUAACCGACACAGGUGGGUAGGUAGAGUAUACUAAGGGGCGCGAGAUAACUCUCUCUAAGGAACUCGGCAAAAUGACUCCGUAACUUCGGGAGAAGGAGUGCCUUAUUUCUAAGGUUGCAAUAACAAGAUCCAAGCAACUGUUUACCAAAAACACAGGUCUCCGCUAAGUCGUAAGACGAUGUAUGGGGGCUGACGCCUGCCCAGUGCCAGAAGGUUAAAGAAGUUGGUUAGCAUUAGCGAAGCUGAUAACUGAAGCCCUGGUGAACGGCGGCCGUAACGAUAACGGUCCUAAGGUAGCGAAAUUCCUUGUCGGGUAAGUUCCGACCCGCACGAAAGGCGUAAUGAUUUGGAUACUGUCUCGGAGAGGGGCUCGGUGAAAUAGACUUGUCUGUGAAGAUGCGGACUACCUGCACCUGGACAGAAAGACCCUAUGAAGCUUUACUGUAACUUGAGAUUGAAAUUGGACUUUAUUUGCGCAGUAUAGGUGGGAGGCGUUGAGAAUAAUCUUGCGGGAUUGUUGGAGCCAUCAGUGAGAUACCACUCUUGUAAUGUUAGAUUUCUAACUUUGUAUCAUUAUCUGGUCAAAGAACAGUUUCAGGCGGGCAGUUUGACUGGGGCGGUCGCCUCCCAAAGGGUAACGGAGGCGCACAAAGGUUUCCUCUGAACGGGUAGAAAUCGUAUCUAGAGUGUAAAGGCAUAAGGAAGCUUGACUGUGAGACCUACAAGUCGAGCAGGGACGAAAGUCGGUCUUAGUGAUCUGACGGUGCUGAGUGGAAAGGCCGUCACUCAACGGAUAAAAGUUACUCUAAGGAUAACAGGCUGAUCUCCCCCAAGAGUUCACAUCGACGGGGAGGUUUGGCACCUCGAUGUCGGCUCAUCGCAUCCUGGGGCGGUAGUCCGUCCCAAGGGUUGGGCUGUUCGCCCAUGAAAGCGGUACGCGAGCUGGGUUCAGAACGUCGUGAGACAGUUCGGUCCAUAUCCGGUGUAGGCGUUAGAAUAUUGAGAGGAGCCUUCUCUAGUACGAGAGGACCGAGAAGGACAUACCUCUGGUGUACCAGUUAUCGUGCCAACGGUAAACGCUGGGUAGCUAUGUAUGGAGUGGAUAACCGCUGAAAGCAUCUAAGUGGGAAGCCCACCUCAAGAUAAGUAUUC